GCGCCAAAUCACAACAAAAGUUACCUCAAGGCGCUUCAUAGAUACAGAGAAAAACCCAACAAUCUUGUGACCCCCUAUGAGCAAGCACUUUGGCAACAGUGGGAAGGAAAAACUCCCUUUUAACAGGAAGAAACCUCCGACAGAACCACGCUCAGGUACGGGCAGCCAUCUGCUGCGACCGCUUGGCGUGAGCUAACAGAGGCUUUGACGAGAGAGACCUAAUAUUUAAUAAUCCAUAUUUCACUGUUUUAUUCUUCGGUUCAGAUGUGGAUUCUGUAUUGUUCUUGCUUUGUUACUAUUGAUGUUUUGUUUGUUUAGCAUAAUCUCUUUUGUUAUAUUUUAGCUUUAACAGGGAACAUGCCUCUCUGGAGCUUCUCUCCUGAUGCUACCCUGCCAAAGACCCUUAUCCAUAGAGACUAUGUCAGCUCCCAAACAGACAGCAACAAACCAAAUCUAGCAAUAAACAACUUAAACAUCAAUAAUAACAAAGCAAGAACAAUACAGAAUCCACAUCUGAACCGAAGAAUAAAACAGUGAAAUGUGGAUUAUUAAAUAUUAGGUCUCUCUCUUCAAAGCCUCUGUUGGCUCACGCCGAGCGGUCGCAGCAGAUGGCUGCCCGUACCUGAGCGUGGUUCUGCCGGAGGUUUCUUCCUGUUAAAAGGGAGUUUUUCCUGCCCACUGUUGCCAAAGUGCUUGCUCAUAGGGCGUCACAAGAUUGUUGGGUUUUUCUCUGUAUCUAUGAAGCGCCUGGAGGCAAUUUUUGUUGUGAUUUAGCGCUAUAUAAAUAAAAUUCAAUUGAAUUGUAUUGAAGUAAACUUAAUGUGAUAAAUUAGGAAUUAGUUCAUUUCUCAAGUGAAAAAUGAAAAAGGGGGAC
ensembl:lncRNA